CUGCAUUCUCCGUCCUUCAGGAGGUACAGCUGGUGCCGCUGAGACUGCAGCUUGGAGGCGCUGGUCACCGCCGCGGUCAGCUGCUGCGCCUGUGGGGACCGCAAACAUGACUCAGCAUGCAGAGUGAGGUCUGCUCCAUUGCCUCCUAUUCUGUUAACCCCCCCAAAAUGAGUUUGUUUGGUUUAAAUACCACAAAUAAAUAAAAAAAUCAGUGAAGAGUACCACCUACAGAGUUUUCUGAGAUGUUUGAAACUCCUGACCCCACUAAAAGGAGCAAAGAUAUUAGCUCUGAAGAACUGACAUCCCAUAAUCCCGCCCCCGUGCACUCACCUUUGCCGAGGCUCUCCCCAACUCAUCGAUGACCGUAGCAAGGUUCGCCUGGAGAUCAGGUCUGGUGGAAGGACAGAGACAAAAAAACAAAACAACAACAAACAAAAACAGCAGAAAAUUCAGAAACGCAGCAAAGAGCUCAAGAUCUGCGCUUCACUCGCCAUUUUUUAUUCAACUGCAGGUGGAUUAAAAAAAAAAUACUGAUUGAUUGAUUAAAAGAUAAGAACUUUAGUCCCUGUCAGACUUGACACGGUUUUGGAUUAACUUCUUUUUAAAACUUUGUGUUUUGAUUUAAAAUCUAAAAUUUUCAACAGAAAAAACCCCCCCAGAAGGUUUGGACACCAAACAUGACCCUUUGUCUGAAUGAUUUCAGAGCAGUUUCUCAGCUCAUAAAACAUGUUGAAAUCCUGGAAAAAAAAAAAAAAAAAAAAAAAAAAAAA